rnacentral:rRNA from 1 species
GACGAACGCUGGCGGCGUGCUUAACACAUGCCAGUCGAACGGAAAGGCCCUGCUUGCAGGGUACUCGAGUGGCGAACGGGUGAGUAACACGUGGGUGAUCUGCCCUGCACUUCGGGAUAAGCCUGGGAAACUGGGUCUAAUACCGGAUAGGAGCCAUUUUUAGUGUGAUGGUUGGAAAGUUUUUUCGGUGUAGGAUGAGCUCGCGGCCUAUCAGCUUGUUGGUGGGGUAAUGGCCUACCAAGGCGGCGACGGGUAGCCGGCCUGAGAGGGUGGACGGCCACAUUGGGACUGAGAUACGGCCCAGACUCCUACGGGAGGCAGCAGUGGGGAAUAUUGCACAAGGGGCGCAAGCCUGAUGCAGCGACGCCGCGUGGGGGAGGACGGCCUUCGGGUUGUAAACUCCUUUCGCUAGGGACGAAGCUUUUUGUGACGGUACCUAGAUAAGAAGCACCGGCUAACUACGUG